GAGCCCUGGUUUCGUGAGCUCCCGGAGAACGUGGCCUGGCUCUGUUGGCUGAUGGAGCUGAGGCUCGGGUCCCGCCGGACUGGAUACAUCUGUCUCUAUUCAAAGCUGCUGCCUGAGGCUGGGCUUCCAGUCAGCUGGAUGGCGGUGCUGACUCCCUGUGGAGCACUGGCAGGUCUUGGUGCACCGUCAAUAGACGCCCUGACUCCAAAAGGCAUCUGCACGUCUGUGUUCACCUCGGCAUUGUUCAAAGCAGCCAGCACGUGGAGUCCACCUAUGUGUUCCUGAGGGAUGGUGGCUAAAGAAGACAAGGUAUAUACACCGUGGAACACUGUUCAGUCGUAAAAAGGAGAUUCUGCCGUUUUUGAUGACACGUAUGGGCCUUGAGAUCAUUAUGAGAUUCACAUGUGUGGUAAAUUACAAGAAGAAAAUCCCAUCGGAAAACUGUAUGAAGACUGUUCUCAAGUAUUUCAGCCCAGCUUAGCAGAAGGGAAGGGAGAAGGCCCAGGAGGUACCUUCCAUCGACUGUACGCAGUGUUAACAAUCCUAAGAAAUCCUGGCUUGAUGACAAUAGCAGUCAGCCAACUGCCAGAGAAGGCAAAAUGAAAUGAGAACCUGAUUGAUUUGUCCCUGAUCUGAUUCAUGAAAAAUAUGAAGAAAACCUUGUGAGUGAAAAUUGGAAUCUACUUUGUGCACAUUUCCUCUUGAUUCAUGUUUUUGGAACAGAGAAUCAGGAGCCAUAUUUCCUGGGUUCAAACCUGAAAUCCACCACUUCCUUGCUGUGUGACUAGAGAGGGAAGAGAACAGGAGCGAGUAGAGGAGGAGUGAGAAAGGAAGUACAGGGGAGAGGAUGCCUCACUGAAGCUCCCCAUGGCUCACAGCCACCCAGGUGCACGGCAGGUGAGGGCAGUUGGCAGGAGAGGAAUUCUGGGAUGUCCAGAGCAAGAGGGGACAUGGAGCAGCCCUGACCUGAGGGACAGCAAGAAAUCUGCAGGGAAGCAGAGGGCUGCAGUCUGGGGAUGGGCUGUCUGUGAAACACCUGCACAGGAAAAUGUGUGUGAUGGAGAACACCGACCGAACCUGGCAGCCUAGCAGAAACGAAGUUGGUAGAACUGCAAGCAAAAUGAGAGAAAGACCCUCAGGCACCGAAGCUUGAUAGCGACAGCCUCAAAAGUUGAAGCAGUGCUCCUAAGAGUAGCCUCAGGUCAGAGGAGGAGGUGGAGGGGCCUUGUUGUAAGAAAAGGAGUACCAUUUGCCUAGGUCAUGACUGUGCACAUAACACACAGGUUAAAUCAAAAGCAAACAAACAAUAGGAACAAAGAAAAUGACAUCUAAGUUUUAAUCCAGCAGGUACACUAUAUUUUAGGACAUAAUGUGAAAGACUCAGGAUCUUCUCAUGUUUUCACUUGAUGUAAUGCAACAUAGUGAAGUCGAUGUUCCCGUUUUCACCCUAGGGUAUGCAGGUACCAUCCAUUAGCUUGAAAACAGAUUAACAGGGCUCAAAGCCAGCUUCAGAACAGCAGGCAUUCAAUGAAUGGAUUUGACAUCCAUCAAAUGAAUCUCAGCCUAUAACCUAACCAUCUGAAAUACAUCCCAGUUUUGUUAAGUGCUCCACAGUCCCAUGAUGUAAUACACUUUCUUUUACUUCUGGAUUUAUGAUAAAAGAAAUCUUAUCUUGUUAACUAAAACUGAAUUACCGAUACAUUAAAAAGAUUCUUUUUUCCCCCUCUUUUGCAUAUCCCCCAAUGACCUUGGAAAUAUUCAGCUUCUAAGGAUUUAUUUCAGAAAAGUGUUUCUAUAUUUUUUAGAAUUCUAAAUCUGAAAUUUGAUUUGUUUUAAAAGUGUUUAUAUUCUGCAUUCCUAACAAGAUAAAUGCAUAUAUUUUCAAGAACUUUUGAUCAAUUUAACUGAGAUGCCUGUGUUUGUAGCUUUGUAAAUAUACAUUACAAAAUCAAAACAAGACAGCAGAAAUUGACAGCACAUUGUAAAUCAACUAUAAUAAAAAAAUAAAAAAACAAAAUCA
rnacentral:lncRNA from 1 species